rnacentral:rRNA from 1 species
GACGAACGCUGGCGGCGUGCCUAAUACAUGCAAGUCGAGCGAAUCAAUAGGAGCUUGCUCCUGUUGGUUAGCGGCGGACGGGUGAGUAACACGUGGGCAACCUGCCUGUAAGGCUGGGAUAACACCGGGAAACCGGUGCUAAUACCGGAUAAUCCUUUUUCUCUCAUGAGGGAAAGCUGAAAGUCGGUUUCGGCUGACACUUACAGAUGGGCCCGCGGCGCAUUAGCUAGUUGGUGAGGUAACGGCUCACCAAGGCGACGAUGCGUAGCCGACCUGAGAGGGUGAUCGGCCACACUGGGACUGAGACACGGCCCAGACUCCUACGGGAGGCAGCAGUAGGGAAUCUUCCACAAUGGACGAAAGUCUGAUGGAGCAACGCCGCGUGAGCGAUGAAGGCCUUCGGGUCGUAAAGCUCUGUUGUUAGGGAAGAACAAGUACCGGAGUAACUGCCGGUACCUUGACGGUACCUAACCAGAAAGCCACGGCUAACUACGUGCCAGCCGCCGCAGUAAAAC